rnacentral:rRNA from 1 species
AUGCACAUAGCAAGGGUAGAAAUGGGGAAUCAUCUGAGAUCUCAGAAAUGUUUUCUUUCACUUGAUUAUAUGCUACAAGAAGAAAGCAGCCAAAGCAAAAUUACAGGCAAGCAAGUACGGAGACCGACUGACAAAAGCUUCCUGGAGCUGGAACUUGUGCCGCACAUCCAUGGACAAAAACAUGGAGGCUCUGAUAAAAAUCCAAGCACCCUGGCUGCUGAAUCUCACAAACUUUUCCAGGUGCCUUUUCAGUUUGAGCAGAUGAAAAGACUGAUGAAAAUCCAAAGAGCAACAAAAAACAGAGGAGAAAAACAGAGCUACCUGAUAGAACAGAAGCAGAGGCAGUGUUUAAGUGGAGGGAGGGAUUGA